rnacentral:rRNA from 1 species
GUCCGCACUGUAAACGAUGAUUACUCGCUGCUGGAAGGUAACUUUCAGUGGCUUAGCGAAAGCGAUAAGUAAUCCACCUGGGGAGUACGCCGGCAACGGUGAAACUCAAAGGAAUUGACGGGGGCCCCGCACAAGCGGAGGAGCAUGUGGUUUAAUUCGAUGAUACGCGAGGAACCUUACCAGGGCUUGAAAGUUAGGGAAUAACUCUGAAAGGAGUUAGUCAGCAAUGACCCGAAACUAGGUGCUGCAUGGCUGUCGU